UACGUAGGGGGCGAGCGUUGUCCGGAUUUACUGGGCGUAAAGCGCGUGUAGGCGGCUGGUUAAGUUGGGUGUGAAAGCCCGGGGCUCAACCCCGGGACGCCGCCCAAGACUGGGCGGCUUGAGGACGGAAGAGGGGCGUGGAAUUCCAGGUGUAGCGGUGAAAUGCGUAGAGAUCUGGAGGAACACCCGUGGCGAAGGCGGCGCCCUGGUCCGUUUCUGACGCUGAGACGCGAAAGCGCGGGGAGCGAACGGGAUUAGAAACCCCCGUAGUCC
rnacentral:rRNA from 1 species